CAGUAGCCGCGGGAAUACAGAGGGUGCAAGCGUUAAUCGGAAUUACUGGGCGUAAAGCGCGCGUAGGUGGUUUGUUAAGUUGGAUGUGAAAGCCCCGGGCUCAACCUGGGAACUGCAUCCAAAACUGGCAAGCUAGAGUACGGUAGAGGGUGGUGGAAUUUCCUGUGUAGCGGUGAAAUGCGUAGAUAUAGGAAGGAACACCAGUGGCGAAGGCGACCACCUGGACUGAUACUGACACUGAGGUGCGAAAGCGUGGGGAGCAAACAGGAUUAGAGACCCCAGUAGUCCCUGUCUCUUAUAC
rnacentral:rRNA from 1 species